GUAGUUUUUCUUCUUUUAAGUAUAGCUUGGAUAUCAACCCAGAUGCUCGGAUAGAAUUCCAAUUACCAACUCUUGCAGCUCCACAUGAUGCGCAACCAGAGAACUUGUUACAUUGUACCCUGUGGUUCAAAGACACCCCACGCCCUGAUGCAGAUUAUGAAGAAGAACUAUUCCACCUUGUGGAAAUUCACAUCACAUUGACAGACUUACUAUGGGACUCCAGAGGCAACAUGGUCCUGCUGGUGCACCUCCCAACAGAAGUAUCCCAUCUCCACCGCCACUGGGAGACAGCUGUCCCACACAUAUCCUUCACCAAGUCUCCUGACCUCUCAUGGAAAGAUCUAGGCCCACUGGCCAAGUUCUGGAGUACAACAACCCAGGAACAACUUGAAUUAAUGGGGGUAACCAAGAAGAUUAUCAACUGCAAUACAGCUGGCUAUCUCCGAUACCAUACAGAGAUUUGUGAAGAUCUCCCUUCCCUGGAACAGGACUCAGAAGCCCCCCAUGAUUGCUUUGAACAGAUGAAGAUGGAAACCACUCAUCUACCAACUGUGCACGAGACCGCUCUACCUAAUCCAGAUUGGAUACUGUUUGUGGAUGGUUCCAGAUUUGCUGAUGAACAAGGGCAAUAUCACACUGGAUAUGCAGUUACCACAGAAUGCCAGGUACUACAAGCAGCUGCACUUCCGCCAACCAAAUCAGCUCAAGAGGCCGAGCUGACAGCCCUCACAGUGGCCUGCAAACUGUCUGAAGGUUUACGUGUCAACAUUUAUACAGAUUCAAGAUAUGCCCUUGGAGUGGCACAUGAUUUUGGCCUGAUUUGGAAAACCAGAGGGUUUCUCACAGCUGCCGGUACUCCGGUGAAGUAUGGGGCAGCCAUUGAAGGACUGAUGGAUGCCUUGAUACUCCCAGCAGAAGUGGCAGUGUUAAAAGUAAAAGCCCACGGGAGGCUGGAUUCAGAAGAAGCACAAGGCAACCAUUUAGCUGAUCAAGCCGCCAAGGAAGCAGCACGGCAAGGGUGGAAAGUGGACAGAAGAGUGGCCACCGAGACAACACCCAUCUACACCAUGCAAACAUUGCCUACAGAUCUUAGACUUUUAAAGGAACAACAAGCUGCUGCAACUCCUCAAGAGAAACAAAGUUGGAAGAACAGAGGGGCUAUUCUCCGAGAUGAUGUUUACACCAUCAAUCUUAAGUUCUGCCUACCCAAGAAUAUGUAUCCAGCUGUUGUCCAAUGGGCCCAUGGGCCAGCUCACCUGUCAAAACAUCUGAUGAAUGCCCUAAUUGAUAAAUACUUUGAAGCUCCGGGCAUUACUACUCUGACACAGAACUAUUGUAGAUCCUGUACAAUUUGUGCCAAAUGCAACCCCGGGAAGAUUGUUAAAACUGCACCCAACCACUUGGCCAAGCCACAAUAUCCCUUCCAGAGUAUACAGAUUGACCACAUCCAGAUGCCAAAGAGUGGGCACUAUGAAUAUGCCUUAGUCAUUGUGGACAUGUUCUCAGGAUGGCCAGAAGCUUUCCCCGUGGCCAACCUCACUGCAAGGACCACGGCUAAACAUCUCCUGACGGAAAUUGUCUGCCGGUAUGGAGUUCCAGAAGUGAUUGAGAGUGACCAAGGAACUUCCCUCACCGCCUCAUUGACACGGGAAGUCUGGGCAGCACUGGGGGUGACCCUUGCCUUCCACACACCAUAUCACCCACAGAGUAGUGGUAAGGUAGAACGCAUGAAUGGCACAUUGAAAGCCAGAAUGCUCAAAAUGUCUCAAGAAACUAACAUGCCCUGGCCCGAGAGUCUCCCAUUAGCAUUGUUCAGUGUACGAUACACCCAUAGGGGGAAAUACAGCUUAUCACCCUAUGAGAUUUUGUUCGGUACAGCACCAAGGUUGGGUUGUUAUUUCCCUCAACAGCUUCAGAUUCAGUCAGAUGCUAUGGUAGAUUAUGUAACUGCUCUCUCUCUCAUGCCUUGACCAAAAUCCAUGCCCAAGUGUUUUCUUCUAUUCCAGAUCCUGAGUCGAAUACAGGUACACAUAAGUUGCUUCCAGGUGAUUGGGUUAUGGUCAAGAAAUUCCUCAGGAAUCAUACCCUUGAGCCAAGAUUUGAUGGUCCUUACCAAGUGCUGCUAAUCACGGCUACCUCAGUAAAGUUGGCCGGAAAGAGUUCCUGGAUACACGCCUCACACUGCAAGAAAGUGCCUGCUCCAGAGGAAACUGUCCCUGCUGAGUCAUGAGUUUUCUGUGCUCCUUGUGUCUUCUCUUACUGCUAAACUUUACGAAGGCCCAACAAGUAGCUAUAACCAAAGAUAACCAUGUUUACACCUUUUGGUACAAUUCUUCAAACACAGAUGUAGCCACAUUUACCUUUGAUUACUGUGAUAUUGUUGCUUGUACUUUCCCAUAGACACAACAUGUUACUAUAUAUAAGGACAUACCUGAUAAGAAAGACCCAUACAUUUGUGUGACCGGAGGACAUUGGGGACAUCACUGUAGUUCUUGGAAAGCGGCUGGGUGGAAUACUGGUAGACCAUGGGGAUACAAACCCCAAUGUGCUCUAGAUAGAGUUGACAAAAAUGGGAAACCCCUACUCUCUAGAAUGACCCUAAGUAAACCUAUUGGGUCAACCCCAAUUAAACUCACCCUAAACAUAGAGCACCCCAGUCCGGGAGAUGCCGGGGAAUAUGUAAUGGGUAUGUACUGGAAGGGGGGUGGCUCAUAUAACAAGUUGGGGCAUUCUAUUUGCAAGACAUGCUCACCUCACCUGACUGGGUAGGUACGACUCACAUGACUAUCAACCCACUUAAACCUCACAUUAAGACCUUACAUGACAUGGUUGCUAUUGCUAAUCCCACUUUUGAAGAUACCAGUAGAAACUGGGUUCUCUGACACUAACCUGUGGUUGGAAUGGAUGAGGUAUAAUGCUAAUUCACACAACAAAACUAACUGUUAUGUAUGUGGGGGAGCUAGGCCCCACCUGGGUACGGUACCCCUUAAUUUACCCCCCGAUGUUGAAUUGUGUGUGCUGAGUCUCUAUGCACAGUCAACCACUAACUCCUCAACGUGUGAAUCAUGGAAAAAGGUGUAUCCAGUCACCCAGAGACACAUUAGACCACCUGAUGGAGUUACAGUAUACCCAGGUAAUUACACAUGUUACACAAUAGCUAAAAACACUGGUAAGUUCAUGGGUAAAUUCCCAUCUGGUUAUUUCUCCACCUAUCAUGACCCACCUAUGACACUAUUAAUGAACCAUGUGAAAACAGUCGGGGAUAUCUAUUGGCUGUGUGGGGAUAAGCAAUUGAGAUCCCAACUAACAGGGCUGUGGUGGGGGGAAUGUACACUGACUUAAGCCAUAAUGCCCAUCCAUAUUAUCCCGGAUGGCCAUCAAAAUGCGUUUGAUCCCACACAUACACACUCCAGAGUAAAAAGGGAAGCCCCCAUCCGUGGUAGCUUUGAUCCACAUGUUUAUAUUUAUGCCAUUUGAGUGCCUAAGGUGGUGCCCAACGAAUUUAAAGCAAGGGAUGAGGUUGCCACUGCCAUUUGAGUCCCUUAUUCCAUUAAUCACUGUUAAUAAGAAUGUUAAUUGGAUUAAUUACAUCUACUACAACCAACAGCGGUUUGUUAAUUACACCAGAGAUGCCCUACAGGGCCUGGCAGAACAACUGCAAGCUACCACUCAAAUGACAUUUCAAAAUAGAAUGGCUCUGGACAUGAUUCUAGCUGAAUAGUGGGGCGUAUGUAAAAUCCUCCCCGAAACCAUUAUAUGUUGUACUUUCAUUCCAGACAACACUGGGCCCAAUGGUAAAGUAACUAUGGCAAUAGAGAAAUUAGAAAGCCUCUCAGAUGAAUUACAGAAGAAUUCAGGGGUCACAAAUAUAUGGGACAGAUGGUUUGGAUGGAUGAAUGGUUGGCAGAGAACCCUAUUCCAAGUUGGGACAGCAGUUCUUACAAUGAUCAUUAUCUUCCUGUUCUUAACUUGCUGUGUGUUACCUUGCAUACAGAAAUACUUACAGAAGACAGUAGGGAAGACUAUAGACAACGUGACGCCCACUUUCUUGCACCAAGACGUCACUGACCUAGAAUGUGACGCACCACAUACACCUCUCCAAUCCCACCAAUUCAAACAGACAACUGCAUUUUUGUAGGGAUAGCAUAGGGAAAGCGUCUGUCUCUACGGGCAAGAGUCUCACGUGUGGAGAUGUAGUGGACUAGCCGCUGCGGGUUACCCACGGAGUGAAGUGUUCGAGGCUCGUUAAGGCAGAUGAGCUGCAGGCAGCUAGGGACAUAUUAGGGACAGUGGCAGUUGUUAUGGUAAAUAGCCAUUUUAAGGGGGAACUGUUGUGGAAAUGAGAUAUCGACAUAAUUUUUAGCUAGUAAAAUGUCUAUUUACUCAUAUAAUUGAAAUCAGUGCAUAAGCUAUUAACAUGUGAUUAGACAAAAUGGCCACUAGAAGCUUCCAACCCCUCCCUCCCUCUAACACCGACUAACUACCUUGUGUAACAAGAUGGCACUGGAAUCUGGGGGAGACCCUCAUGGUUCUAGUGACAUCACCCUUAGUAGGCAGAGCAAUAAGAUAACCACUUAACACCUAACCAAUUAAUAAAGUUUUAUUCCAUGUUAUCUCUGACAAUGCUUGUGAUGUAAUUUUGCUUUAAAAGGGACCUGCUGUCCCCUCUGAAUAAACAUUCCUCAAGUUUUUCAUCAACCUGAAACCUGUGUCUGGCGUGAAUUACUUCAGGGAGCGUGCACGCACUGUUUCUUUAAUUUGGCCAGGUGCAGAUACACAAAAUAAUCAAUUUAUUGAUUGAUUUCCACUUCAACACCUGCUAAACCUCUACCCCC
rnacentral:lncRNA from 1 species